AGGUAAGCUCCAUGACCCGUGUGGGGCUCGAACUCACAAUCCCGAGAUCAAGAGUCACAUUCUCUACCAACCGAGCCAGCCAGGACAAAUUAUGCCCUGUUAAAAGUAUCAAGAUUUGUUUCUAAGGAGGAAGGGAAAAAAUGGAUGUUGGAGGAAGCAGGUGACAGUCUCUGCGACACUGGUGUUUCAAUAAUUUCAUGGAUGGAGUCUAACGUGCACCCAAAGUUGUUAUAAAUCAAGGAUGGGAGUUACCACUGUAUACACCACUGCAAUCGUUAAAUGGGGUGAAAAUGUGAUGCUUGAGUCAAGCCCUGCCUUUGAUUAUUACCUUGCGACACAGAAAAAGCAGCGAUAAAACACUUUAAUUGAUGACACCUCCAUGGUAUUUGUUA